rnacentral:lncRNA from 1 species
ACUCACCGGAAGCACCUGCCAGACAGGCCAAAAUCAACAGCUGGCUAUGCGAGAACCAUCUGGCGGACAGUCCGGAAUCACCUGCCGGGCAUGCAGGAACCACCUCUCAGAUCUAAUGGAACCACGAGCCGGACACGCUGGAACCACGUCCUGGACAGACUGGAACCACCUGCCGAGCACUCCGGAACCACCUGCUCGACUCGCACGACCCACGUGCUGGACACGCCAAAAUGAACUUUCGGCUACACCAGAACCACUUGCCCGACACUCCAGAAUCACCUGCCUGGCAUGCCAGAACCACCUCUCACACGUUCUAGAAGCACGUGCCGGACAUGCCGGAACGACCUAUCGGACAGAACGGAACCACCUGCCAGACACGCCGGAAGCACCUGCUGAACACGCCACAGCCACCUGCUCGACUCGCCGGAUCCACCUGCCAGACAGGCCAAUAUCAACUGCUGGCUAUGCCAGAACCACCUGGGGGACAGUCCGGAAUCACCUGCCAGCCAUGGCGGAACCACCUCUCAGACGUACCAGAACCACGUGCCGGACAAGCUGGAAACACUUAUUGGACAGACUGGAACCACCUGCCGGCCACGCCUGAACCACCUGCCGAGCACGAUGGAACCACCUGCCGGACACGCCCAAAUCACCUGCGGGCUACACCAGAACCACUUGGAGAACUCUCCGGGAUGACCUGCCGGGCAUGCUGGAACCACCUCUCAGACGUACCAGAAGCACGUGGCGGACACCCCAGCACCACCUGCCGGACAACCGCAACCACCUGCCGGACACGCCGGAACCACCGGCUCGACCCGCCGGAACCACCGCCGGACAUGCAAAAUCACCUGCCGGCUACGCCAGAACCACUUGGCGAACACUCCGGAAUCACCUGCCGGGCAUGCCGGAACCACCUCUCAGACAUGCCAGAACCACGUGCCAAUGACCCCGGAAGCACCUGCCGAGCACGCCGGAACCACCUGCUCGACUCGCCAGAACCACCUGCCGGACACGCCAAAAUCACCUGCCGGCUACGCCACAACCACUCGGCAGACACUCCGGUAUCAACUGCCGNNNN